AGAGUUUGAUCAUGGCUCAGAGUGAACGCUGGCGGCAGGCCUAACACAUGCAAGUCGAACGGCAGCACAGAGGAGCUUGCUCCUUGGGUGGCGAGUGGCGGACGGGUGAGGAAUACAUCGGAAUCUGCCUUAUCGUGGGGGAUAACGUAGGGAAACUUACGCUAAUACCGCAUACGACCUACGGGUGAAAGCGGAGGACCGCAAGGCUUCGCGCGAUAAGAUGAGCCGAUGUCGGAUUAGCUAGUUGGCGGGGUAAUGGCCCACCAAGGCGACGAUCCGUAGCUGGUCUGAGAGGAUGAUCAGCCACACUGGAACUGAGACACGGUCCAGACUCCUACGGGAGGCAGCAGUGGGGAAUAUUGGACAAUGGGCGGAAGCCUGAUCCAGCCAUGCCGCGUGUGUGAAGAAGGCCUUCGGGUUGUAAAGCACUUUUGUCCGGAAAGAAAAGCUUCGGGUUAAUACCCCGGGGUCCUGACGGUACCGAAGAAUAGCCCC
rnacentral:rRNA from 1 species